rnacentral:rRNA from 1 species
GUCUAUGGUUAUACCACCCUCAACUCACCUAAUUUUUUCUCAUCUUAGAAGUAAGCAGAGUCAGGCCUUGUUAGUAAUUGGAUGGGAGAUCUAAUGCUUAUUGACAGAAACUCCAAAAG